GUUUUCAAGCUUAUUUUCGCAACAUUGAUCCUCUUGAGCUCAAUUUGCAGAUUUCAGUUUCCUUCUAAUGUUUUUAUUUCUCUUGUCGGUUUCAGCUAAAACUGCGGUGAGGAUAAAUCCGGAAAGGCCGAAAUUGCUUCCCCAAAAAUCACCAGAUUUCACACCUGGACUGAACUAAGCAGUUGAAGUGGAAGAAAAUAAACAGCAGAUAAUCUUAAGGGUAAGUUUUAUGUAUCGUUCAACUAUUGGACAGAUACUUAUAUUGUUUCUGGCUUUUUUUUUUUUCUAUUUUCAGGUUUCGAGUCAGCCACGGAUAGGGCACCGAUGACACUCAUCAGCGGCCAUGGACUGGUGAAAAACAGCAACUCGUAGUGGCCCUUUUCAACGACCUCGCAAACCAUCGAGAAGUUAUAAUUCGUAAUUUUAUUCGGUCUAAUAAUUCUUUUUUUUCUAUUUUAGUUGUCUUGAAUGAAUCAAAUUUUAGUUCAA